CCAGACUCCUACGGGAGGCAGCAGUGGGGAAUAUUGCACAAUGGGGGGAACCCUGAUGCAGCGACGCCGCGUGGGUGAAGGAGCACCUCGGUGCGUAAAGCCCUAUCGGCAGGGAAGAAACAGACGGUACCUGACUAAGAAGCCCCGGCUAACUACGUGCCAGCAGCCGCGGUAAUACGUAGGGGGCGAGCGUUAUCCGGAUUCACUGGGCGUAAAGGGAGCGCAGGCGGCACGGCAAGUCCGGUGUGAAAGCCCGGGGCUCAACCCCGGGACUGCCCUUGGAACUGCUUGGCUGGAGUGCGGGAGGGGCAGGCGGAAUUCCUGGUGUAGCGGUGAAAUGCGUAGAUAUCAGGAGGAACACCGGCGGCGAAGGCGGCCUGCUGGACCGCUACUGACGUUGAGGCUCGAAAGCGUGGGGAGCGAACAGGAUUAGAUACCCGCGUAC
rnacentral:rRNA from 1 species